rnacentral:rRNA from 1 species
GACGAACGCUGGCGGCGUGCCUAAUACAUGCAAGUCGAGCGGACGAAUCGAAAGCUUGCUUUUGAUUCGUUAGCGGCGGACGGGUGAGUAACACGUGGGCAACCUGCCCUGUAGACGGGGAUAACACCGAGAAAUCGGUGCUAAUACCGGAUAACACGAAAUGUCGCAUGACGUUUCGUUGAAAGACGGCGCAAGCUGCCGCUACAGGAUGGGCCCGCGGCGCAUUAGCUAGUUGGUGAGGUAACGGCUCACCAAGGCGACGAUACGUAGCCGACCUGAGAGGGUGAUAGGCCACACUGGGACUGAGACACGGCCCAGACUCCUACGGGAGGCAGCAGUAGGGAAUCUUCCGCAAUGGACGAAAGUCUGACGGAGCAACGCCGCGUGAGCGAAGAAGGCCUUCGGGUCGUAAAGCUCUGUUGUUAGGGAAGAACAAGUAACGCAGUAACUGGCGUUACCGUGACGGUACCUAACGAGAAAGCCACGGCUAACUACGUG